rnacentral:rRNA from 1 species
ACGCUCGACACCUACGGGAGGCNGCAGUGGGGAAUAUUGCACAAUGGGGGAAACCCUGAUGCAGCGACGCCGCGUGAAGGAAGAAGUAUUUCGGUAUGUAAACUUCUAUCAGCAGGGAAGAAAAUGACGGUACCUGACUAAGAAGCCCCGGCUAACUACGUGUCAGCAGCCGCGGUAAUCUGAGCGGGCUGGCAAGGC